AACGAACGCUGGCGGCAGGCUUAACACAUGCAAGUCGAGCGCCCCGCAAGGGGAGCGGCAGACGGGUGAGUAACGCGUGGGAACGUACCUUUUGGUUCGGAACAACUCCGGGAAACUGGAGCUAAUACCGGAUAAGCCCUAACGGGGAAAGAUUUAUCGCCGAAAGAUCGGCCCGCGUCUGAUUAGCUAGUUGGUGAGGUAACGGCUCACCAAGGCGACGAUCAGUAGCUGGUCUGGGAGGAUGAUCAGCCACACUGGGACUGAGACACGGCCCAGACUCCGACGGGAAGCAGCAGUGGGGAAUAUUGGACAAUGGGCGCAAGCCUGAUCCAGCCAUGCCGCGUGAGUGAUGAAGGCCUUAGGGUUGUAAAGCUCUUUUGUCCGGGAAGAUAAUGACGGUACCGGAAGAAUAAGCCCCGGCUAACUUCGUG
rnacentral:rRNA from 1 species